rnacentral:rRNA from 1 species
UACCAGCACCCCGAGUGGUCGGGACGAUUAUUGGGCCUAAAGCAUCCGUAGCCGGCCUUACAAGUCCUCCGUUAAAUCCAGCUGCUUAACAGAUGGCUGCGGAGGAUACUAUAAGACUAGGAGGCAGGAGAGGCAAGCGGUACUCAGUGGGUAGGGGUAAAAUCCGUUGAUCCAUUGAAGACCACCAGUGGCGAAGGCGGCUUGCCAGAAUGCGCUCGACGGGUGAGGGAUGAAAGCUGGGGG